rnacentral:rRNA from 1 species
CGAACGGGUGAGUAACACGUGAGCAACCUGCCCCUGACUCUGGGAUAACCCCGGGAAACCGGAGCUAAUACCGGAUAUGACAUCUUCGGGCAUCCGAUGGGUGUGGAAAGAUUUAUCGGUUGGGGAUGGGCUCGCGGCCUAUCAGCUUGUUGGUGGGGUGAUGGCCUACCAAGGCGACGACGGGUAGCCGGCCUGAGAGGGCGACCGGCCACACUGGGACUGAGACACGGCCCAG